rnacentral:lncRNA from 1 species
CCAAUUUCCUUGCAUCUUCCAUAUAUGAAACUAUGAUUUUCUUUCCCACAAUUCACCUUCGAUUAUCCUUGUUGUUGUAGUUGCUAACUUAGACCUUUUCAUACAUCUCAAAAUUUUCGUAUGAUCCCUUGCAAAUCUCUGCCAUCGUCAAAGAAAAUCCGGAGAGCAUUUGUUGUGUACAAUUGUGAAGCUUCUCUCUUGUGACUUCCACCUAUAGAUUGUA